UUCACUUGAAUAAUAUUUUUAUCUUAUAAUUACUAACUUUUAUCAAUUUAAGCAUCAAAACAACUUCAAUUCUUGAUUUUAACCCAAAUUUUAAAGAUUUUACCUAUAAAGCUCAAAAUUGGUUUUUCUUUGAUUUGAACUCCAUUUUUUACUCGAUUUAACUUGGAUUUUCAUAUAUAGGUUCCUAAAAAUAUGGGAAACAUAUUUUUGAAGUAAAGUUUCAAUUUUGC
rnacentral:lncRNA from 1 species